rnacentral:lncRNA from 1 species
GCUGCAUAGACUGCCUGUGCUGAUGGCAUUUGUGCUGGUUGCUGUAGUCUUGGCACUGGGGAUUUUCCUGCUCUCCCUGUUCGUCAGGCGAAAGUGCAACAGAUCAAACGCCUCUGAGAUCAACAGCAGUAUCCCCCUUCAGAAGCGUCGCAGAGGUGCCAGUAAUCUGAACACACUGAUCCUGGUGGAGGAACUGCUGGAUGCUCUGAAGAGGCUUCAAAGGGCAGAGAUAGAGGCAGAGCAGAUGGAGGAUGAAUCAGUUGACAGGCACGAGGCAGGGCGUCUGGGCGAAUACCAGAAACUGGCCUCCUCUCUGCGCCACUCCUGUAAUGCUGGGAAGGAGCUGUGUAACAAGGGCAAGAACCGCUACAAGAGCAUCAUUCCGUACGAUCACUGCCGUGUGGUGCUGCAGCCCUCUGACACGGGGAAUGACUACAUCAAUGCCAGCUACGUGGAUGUAGGUAGCGAGGAGGAUGGCUCCUCUAUUUCUCGCCUUAUUAAAUGUUUAACAUGGGUGACUGGAGCUGUUUGAAACUCUCCCCCACAGAGCUACCGGAGCCCGCGAUUCUUCAUUGCUGCUCAAGGCCCUUUGCCUGAGA